GACUCAAACAGGCGGAGUAUCCUUCCAGCAUUACAGUCCGUUUACCAGUCAGCUCCUGCAGUCUGGUCCAUAGACCUCUCAGAGAGAAAGGUCUCCCUCCUCCUAGAAGUGCUGAAACUCCAACCAGAGAAGAAACCAGUAGAGCUGAAAGGCUGGUCAGAUGAAGAGAUUGAAGUGAGGAGUUUCCUUCAGUGUCUGCCCUACAUCUCACAGCUCAGCUGUGAUUCUGACAGGUUCUUCCAGRGUGUGUGUGAAUCCAUCCCUGUGAGGUCCAGAGAGGAUGCCCAGCAGUUGGCCUCUCUCCUCCAGGCCUUGGGCUCCACCCUGUCACUGGGAGGACAGUUACCCAGGAAAACCUGCAGGUCUGUGGUGAGAGUGCUUGGCCUCUGUGCCUCCAGAGUGGACCUCACUCUCACCCCCAGCAAGAUCUCUCUGAAAGGAGCCUCGCUUCUCUUCACACAUGUGUCACAGCUACACAAGCUCAGGCUGAAUGUGGGCAUGGCAGUGAGACUGGCCAGACUGGCUAGGAGGACAGGGAGAGGGGGUUCUCCACUGACGGUCCCAGAGCUCUCCCUGGUCCUAAAGAGCAGCCAGCCACCAGAGAGAGUGUUAUCCAGGGCUCUGAGUAGUGUGGCGUCCCUGCUGAGACUCUGGACGGUGCAGUGUCUGGACCUGACUGACUUCUGCAUCCAGGGUCACUCUGUCAUCACACUGCUGUGUCACCAAGGCCCUCUCACUCUCAGGUCAGUUUGAAGCUGUUGUUUUUAAAGUGGUAGCAAUAAGUAGACAUAGUAACUUAUGUAUGUGUUCUUAUUUAUAUUUGUGUUAUUUACUGCCUUUAUGUUCCAACCUCCUAGACUGCACUCAGACARRCUGCAGCAGCUGGCUGUGGUUGUGUAUGAAGCUCAGGACAAGGACUUGACUCGGUGGUUCCUGGAGAAGGUUGGUGGAGACCUGACCACCUGUAGGCUGGACUGGGAGGUGCUUCUCUCUCUGCUGCAGCAUUCAACCCACAACAUCACAGUGGACCUCAGGAAGAACAGGUUUCUAGAGAAGAACAUCUCAGAUCUUCUCCCCUUUCUGGGAAGGGUUAUAUUCAAGAGGUGAGUGAACUUAAUUUUAUAUUUAAAGACUUUUUAGAAAGAAGAAAACAAAUAUUUUACAGUGACAUUAUUUUGAGUUAAACUCUGUAUUAUCAUUAGGGUMAUAUUCAAGAGGUGUUUGAUCUUUAGUUAAUAUUGUUGUUAUGUGAGUUAUCCUUUUUAUAACCUUAACAUAACCAUGACAAUCCAUUCUACAUCUUUCUGCAGGCUCAGUUCCAGCUUUGUGAAGUCCACCAUCAGACAGAUCUAUGACAGUAGAGCCAGUGACUGUGUGUCCAGUUUGUUGAGGUCUUCAGACCAUUGGAUCAACCUGAAUAGCAGAGAGCUGGACAGAGUGGACUGUACUGCGCUGUGUUUCACCCUGCAGCACAGCCACCAAGUCAAAGUCAAUCUCCUGUGGACCUCCAUACCACCGGGGGAGAUAGAGAGCAUCCUGCCUCUUCUGGACAGAGUCUCCCAACUCAGGUUUCGUUGGCACUCUUUGACCAUUCUAGAAUGGAUAGAACUGUGACGCUUUACACUGUCAGACUGAUUUUAAUACCCUAACCUUAGUGUAAUGUACUUACCUUUCCCCAGGGGUGGAAUUGAAGGGGAACGCGUGGGAGUUGACGUGAAUCACAGAGUUGUAGUGUGUUUUAUCAUGGUUUAUUGUGUGCUGGUGUGAAAUGAAUUCUCUCUCCUCUCUCUCUCUCUCUCUCUCCCUCUCUCUCUCUCUCUCUCCUCUCUCUCCUCCUCUCUCUCUCCUGUUGACAGGAUGCUGUUGCUGAGUUUCCUGCGCUGCCUCUCAGAUCCUGCAGGGGGCACUAUCACCACCUUCAGCAAUAACGCAGCAGCAGAGCUGCUCAGGCGGCUCUGCAGCACAGGUUGGACUUCCUCCUCCUGCUCCCUUUGUGGACCUGUCAGCUCACGACCAGGGGAGGCGCUGUGUCUGACCACUGUAGGGCCAUAAACUCUGUUCUGAAGCAGAGCCAGCACAGCACACAGCUGGUUCAGAACCCGACCCAGAACCAGUCCCGAAACCAGCCCCAGGUGCAGCUCAUCCUUAAAGACUGUGAGGUGGAGCACUGAGAGAGCUGCUUCCCAUCCUGCAUAUUGUCAAGCUGAGGUUAGAUACACAAGGACAAACUAGUUUAUAAAAGUAGGAGUUAGAGCUGUCUCAUAAUGUUAUCUCUGGUUAUGUUUCCCUCAGCCCCAGCAAAGCUCUGCUACUUCAGCUGGUGGACCAUGUGUGUGAGGGGAUUGAAGAGGGAGUGCUGAGACACGCAGAGUCCCGGUCAAGCCCUGGAUGGGGAGCUGGACCUCAGUGAGACCAGGCUGAACCAAAAGGCCUGUGGAUCUCUGGCCCUGGUUCUGGAACACUCAGAGGGGCUGUCAGAACUGGACCUCAGCCACUGCCAACUCACAGACCGCCAUCUACAGCCCCUGCUCACACACCUGCACAAAGUUGAAGUCCUUGAGUGAGUGGGUUUCACUCUGUGUGUGUGUGUGUCCAUGUGACUACAUGACAAAUGUCUGAUCCUUCAUUCUCUUCCUGUUUCUGUAUUGUAGCCUGAGUCACAAUGACAUCACUGAUGAUCUGACCAACAGAAUUCUCCAACUGGUCUCCACCAACACUUCAAUCUGCACCGUACGGUGAGUGUGUGUGAUGUCAGUUUGUGUGUGCACGUGAGAUCAUAUGGUCUCUUUUUCUGGGUGCAACUAUUURAUGUUGGUUGUCUGUAGUGUAAUGUUCUAAAACUAAUAAUGAUGAUGUUAGUGUUCUUCUCUACAGGCUCUUCAGCAACACAAUCAAGGACAGAAGUCCGUUCCUGACAGACAAGAGGUUUGAGAUCUGGUGAAGCAGCAUCAGGUCCAAGUCCAGACAGAGGAAGCGAAGAUGGAUGUUGAAGAGGUAGAGGAAGCGAAGAUGGAUGUUGAAGAGGUAGAGGAAGCGAAGAUGGAUGUUGAAGAUGGGUGUAGUAGCUACGAAGCCUCAUCUCAUCAACCUUAACCUGGACACUAAACGUAUCCUAAUUUUAACCAAUUCUUAAAUAUUGAAUGAAAGCCACAUCCCCUUAGUUUUUAGCUGACCUCAUCAUGGUGUCAGAAGAACUGCAAGUGGUGUCAUCAGGGAUUUGGGGACUAAGGUAUUGUAAAAAUAGUUGAGACUCCAGAACUCUGUAAUGUUCUGAGUGUAAUGGAUAGGAAUGUGUAGUUUUAUUUACCUCUUACAUGGUUCUGAAAAACACAGGAACAUGUGUAGUAUAAUGUUUUUUGAGCUUUACAUAAGUAGAUGAUUUUUGUGAUCUGACAAUUUGUGAAAUUCCUUCUGAAGGAAUGGAAUGUAUUUGUGCUUUUMUAGUCUAGUAUUUAUCAGGUUGAUGUGAAUGUGUUCUACAGUUGCAGUGGGAGAYGUAAUACAUGAGUGUUUUGUUGCAGGUCAACCUCAUGGUAUUGUUACUCAGGCUAGCCCUGUUGAGAACCAAGCUUCCCUAUUCAGGAAGCAAGGGGUGUGUUGACUUCUCUUGAACGUUUGCUAUGUUGUGCAACGUUUUGUACUGAAUGACACGUUUCCCCAAAAUGUUCUUGAACAGACUUUGAGGUACGUUUGGUGGGUGUGGCGAGGUGUGGCUUGAAGCAAUGAGUGACAUAUUUGUAAAGGGCAGUGGCCAUGCUGACAAUAUUCUCCAACCCACAACCCAACCCCUCCCCAUUUUUCAACUGGUYGUUCAGUACAGCACCGUUUACGUUCAAUUGAACCGUUUCAGAACGUAGAAACAUACUGAACGCAGCCCUGGUGAAGUUCAGGGCAGAAAGUAGCUACAAGUGGGUGGAAACCAUUGAUGCCUCGCAACACGUCAAACCAAUCAAUUGCCUUGCUUUGGCGGAGCACUAAAGGUAGCCACUAGUGCCAUAGGAGGAACAGUGUGUGAGGAUGCCCAGGGAAUCGCUGAUGUAUAACAUAGGCUGUAUGUACACAAACCAUAACAAAAAUGCCCUCAUCGACUUGUGAAGAACAUUACACGCAGCUUCCCUUYUAAGGGCAUGUGGGGGAGGUUUCUUGAAAUAUAACAUCCAAUCAAAAUGUAGCCGCUGGAACCCAGCAGACCAUUCUGUUUUGGCUCAUACAAAAUUCUCCAAUUCUCCAGCAUGACAACAAUGUGAUUUUGGAGGUAUGGCUACAUGAGACUAGUACAAGCCUUUCUCAUAUCAAAACAGACAAACUAAGAAAUAAUAUAUGAAUAUUUUGUUUUUUAAAUAAAUGUACCUUGAGGCCCAUGAUUGGCUUUUGACUGUGUUCUCUUCAGGUUGAAAUCAUUACUAGUGAAUCCUAAAUAAUCUGUUUCAAGUUAAUGCUGGUAUUAAAGCAAUCCCAUGUGUAUUUAUUUUAAUGAGAAUUUAAGUUGAGAGCUAAGCACUAUGGACCAGCAGAUGGGGUUGCUUCAGAGAGCCUUGACUGGGGUUAGAACCUACAACCAUGAUUCAGAGAGCCUUGAACAACGCCUUUCUUUCUUGAGCCCACAGACAGAAUUCUCAGGCUAUGACUCACUCUCCAGCUAAGGGCCGAUGUUGGUUGAAGUCUUUAGCUUAUUCCUUUAGUCCCGCCCCAUUUUCCCGUCACAGAUUUAUGCUGGGAUCUUUUCCAAGUGUGAAGUAGCUGGUGCCUCUUGCCCUUGAAGCAUGGUGUUACAGAUUCAAGCCUGGACUGGUCAAUGUGGUUUUGGUAGCACUAACCUGAUGGUGAUAGAAGCAUUGGAUUCCUUCUCCGGUUAAUCCUGUGGUUCGGAUCAAAAGUGUCUACUUUUUCCUCCAUAACCACUGCUGGUUACUGUUCCAUAUCCGCAGGGGGGAUCCCAGGAUGAACUACUCCCCACUUAUCGCUUUCUUCCGGCCAACAAGCACAGCCAUUUUAUGUGUCACAGCUACUCCCAGCAGCCUUUAACCCCAGCAGCCAAAACUUGCUCAGCAACAGAGUGCUCAGUUUUAAGGCAACCAUGAUGAGAGCGCAGCACUGGUUUCAACCUACACAGCCAAGAGAGACUUCUUCCUUCUUAACAUUCGUUACACUUCGGAUUCUGACAUCGAUGUUUAUCACCUAAAGCAGAAGUGUUGAGUUUUGAACCUAUAACCUCUUGGAUGAAAGGCAAAGUACUCAAAAAAUCUAUUCUAGCUCUUAAAUUAAAGGGCAGUAGCCUACAUUUAAUCUAUGAUUUUCAAUUACAGCAUUAUUUCAUCUGCAGUUAUUCUUCUGAUAUUUAUUCUGUUACCAAUAAUAUUUACAUGUUAAUAUUGUCUUCUGAUUACAAUUAUUAUGUCUCAGGUUGCAUUUAGUUCAAAUAUAUUAGCUUCCAAAAUGUAAGUAGGUAUAUCUAGCUGUCAGAUGACACGUUCUGAAUGUCUGAUGGAAUGGCUUGGCCUGCACCUUGUAAAAACCCAUAGUGAAUGUCUGAUGGAAUGGCUUGGCCUGCACCUUGUAAAAACCCAUAGUGAAUGUCUGAUGGAUGGCUU
ensembl:lncRNA